ensembl:ncRNA R106.6 ncRNA
AAAAAACCUACGGCUUCCAACAUGCAACGUAAACCACAGUCACUUCAUCCAGCCUGUCAAGCCACACUACACCUGGCUACAACGACAUUU